AUGACUCUCGGCAACGGAUAUCUCGGCUCUCGCAUCGAUGAAGAACGUAGCGAAAUGCGAUACUUGGUGUGAAUUGCAGAAUCCCGUGAACCAUCGAGUUUUUGAACGCAAGUUGCGCCCGAAGCCGUCAGGCUAAGGGCACGUUUGCCUGGGCGUCGUA
rnacentral:rRNA from 1 species